rnacentral:rRNA from 1 species
GAUGAACGCUGGCGGCGUGCCUAAUACAUGCAAGUCGAACGCUUUGUGGUUCAACUGAUUUGAAGAGCUUGCUCAGAUAUGACGAUGGACAUUGCAAAGAGUGGCGAACGGGUGAGUAACACGUGGGAAACCUACCUCUUAGCAGGGGAUAACAUUUGGAAACAGAUGCUAAUACCGUAUAACAAUGACAGCCGCAUGGUUGUUAUUUAAAAGAUGGUUCUGCUAUCACUAAGAGAUGGUCCCGCGGUGCAUUAGCUAGUUGGUAAGGUAAUGGCUUACCAAGGCAAUGAUGCAUAGCCGAGUUGAGAGACUGAUCGGCCACAAUGGGACUGAGACACGGCCCAUACUCCUACGGGAGGCAGCAGUAGGGAAUCUUCCACAAUGGGCGAAAGCCUGAUGGAGCAACGCCGCGUGUGUGAUGAAGGGUUUCGGCUCAUAAAACACUGUUGUAAGAGAAGAAUGACAUUGAGAGUAACUGUUCAAUGUGUGACGGUAUCUUACCAGAAAGGAACGGCUAAAUACGUGCCAGCAGCCGCGGUAAUACGUAUGUUCCAAGCGUGAUCCGGAUUUAUUGGGCGUAAAGCGAGCGCAGACGGUUAUUUAAGUCUGAAGUGAAAGCCCUCAGCUCAACUGAGGAAUUGCUUUGGAAACUGGAUGACUUGAGUGCAGUAGAGGAAAGUGGAACUCCAUGUGUAGCGGUGAAAUGCGUAGAUAUAUGGAAGAACACCAGUGGCGAAGGCGGCUUUCUGGACUGUAACUGACGUUGAGGCUCGAAAGUGUGGGUAGCAAACAGGAUUAGAUACCCUGGUAGUCCACACCGUAAACGAUGAGUGCUAGGUGUUUGAGGGUUUCCGCCCUUAAGUGCCGCAGCUAACGCAUUAAGCACUCCGCCUGGGGAGUACGACCGCAAGGUUGAAACUCAAAGGAAUUGACGGGGACCCGCACAAGCGGUGGAGCAUGUGGUUUAAUUCGAAGCAACGCGAAGAACCUUACCAGGUCUUGACAUCCCUUGACAACUCCAGAGAUGGAGCGUUCCCUUCGGGGACAAGGUGACAGGUGGUGCAUGGUUGUCGUCAGCUCGUGUCGUGAGAUGUUGGGUUAAGUCCCGCAACGAGCGCAACCCUUAUUACUAGUUGCCAGCAUUCAGUUGGGCACUCUAGUGAGACUGCCGGUGACAAACCGGAGGAAGGUGGGGAUGACGUCAAAUCAUCAUGCCCCUUAUGACCUGGGCUACACACGUGCUACAAUGGCGUAUACAACGAGUUGCCAACCCGCGAGGGUGAGCUAAUCUCUUAAAGUACGUCUCAGUUCGGAUUGUAGGCUGCAACUCGCCUACAUGAAGUCGGAAUCGCUAGUACUCGCGGAUCAGCACGCCGCGGUGAAUACGUUCCCGGGUCUUGUACACACCGCCCGUCACACCAUGAGAGUUUGUAACACCCAAAGCCGGUGGGGUAACCUUCGGGAGCCAGCCGUCUAAGGUGGGACAGAUGAUUAGGGUG